UACGUAGGGUGCGAGCGUUGUCCGGAAUCAUUGGGCGUAAAGGGCGCGUAGGUGGCCUGGUCAGCGUGCGGUGAAAGCUCGGGGCUCAACCCCGAGUCGGCCGUGCGAACUGCUGGGCUUGAGCACUGUAGAGGCAGGCGGAAUUCCGGGUGUAGCGGUGGAAUGCGUAGAGAUCCGGAAGAACACCGGUGGCGAAGGCGGCCUGCUGGGCAGUAGCUGACACUGAGGCGCGACAGCGUGGGGAGCAAACAGG
rnacentral:rRNA from 1 species